rnacentral:rRNA from 1 species
UAGAUACCCUGGUAGUCCUGGCCGUAAACGAUGGAUACUAGGCGUAUCGGGUAUCGACCCCUGAUGUGCCGCAGCUAACGCGAUAAGUAUCCCGCCUGAGUAGUACGGCCGCAAGGUUGAAACUCAAAGGAAUUGACGGGGGCCCGCACAAGCGGUGGAACAUGUGGUUUAAUUCGAAGCAACGCGAAGAACCUUACCAGGGCUUGACAUGGUAGGAAGCUUUCGGAAACGAGAGUGUGCCCGCAAGGGA